CUCUUCCGAUCUUGCAAGUCGAACGGAGACUGAACGAUAGCAAUAUUGUUUAGUUUUAGUGGCGAAAGGGUGCGUAACACGUGGGUAAUCUGCCGUAAUGUUUGGAAUAACUUGCCGAAAGGUAAGCUAAUACCGGAUGUGGACCUUUUAAGGCAUCUUGAAAGAUCUAAAGCUGGGGACCGUAAGGCCUGGCGCAUUAUGAUGAGCCCGCGGCCUAUCAGCUUGUUGGUGAGGUAACGGCUCACCAAGGCAAAGACGGGUAGCCGGUCUGAGAGGACGGUCGGCCACACUGGAACUGAGACACGGUCCAGACACCUACGGGUGGCAGCAGUCGAGAAUCAUUCACAAUGGGCGAAAGCCUGAUGGUGCGACGCCGCGUGGGGGAUGAAUGGCUUCGGUCAGUAAACCCCUGUCAUUAGUGAACAAACCUUUUAGAGUAAUAUUUUAAAAGCUGAUAGUAGCUAAAGAGGAAGGGACGGCUAACUCUGUGCCAGCAGCCGCGGUAAUACAGAGGUCCCAAGCGUUGUUCGGAUUCACUGGGCGUAAAGAGUGCGUAGGUGGCUAGGUAAGUUUGAUGUGAAAGCUCCGAGCUCAACUCGGAAAUUGCAUUGAAAACUGCUUGGCUAGAGGGUCGGAAGGGAGACUGGAAUUUUCGGUGUAGCAGUGAAAUGCGUAGAUAUCGAGAGGAACACCAGUGGCGAAGGCGAGUCUCUGGACGAAUCCUGACACUGAGGCACGAAAGCUAGGGUAGCAAACAGGAUUAGAUACCCUGGUAGUCCUAGCCGUAAACGGUGCACACUUGCUAUGAGCGGAUUCGACCCCGUUCGUGGCGUAGCUAACGCGUUAAGUGUGCCGCCUGGGGAGUACGGUCGCAAGAUUAAAAAGAUCGGAAGAGCGUCGUGUAGGGAAAGAGUGUAGAUCUCGGUGGU
rnacentral:rRNA from 1 species